UACAGGUGGGUCCACUUACUGCUAUACAAAAUGUGAUCCACCGAACGUGGGUGAUCAUCUUGGGUGGUUUUUCUUCAAACGUUUUUUUAAGAUUAACAGCUUUGAUUGCCCCAAACAGUCAUCGUGUCUAGUGGAGAUACUGAAGAUAAGUGAGCAACCAUAUCUUGCAAGGAUUGCAGGGAAAUGCUGUGCUUGAUCAGCGACUGUUUACGUGGGCUCACCUUAUGGGUUGUUUAGAUGCCUGUAAAGUUUGAAGUUGUUACACUUCACACUUAGGGCCUGUUUGGAUUACCAAUUACCGCUGUAGUGUACUGUAAUUUGUGGUAAAUGAGUAGUGAUUAUCUCUACCAUGGUAGUCAGAGGUAAAACAGAGUAGUGGUUGUACCCAGGGCUCCUUCAGAUCCACUUCUAGCCGGUAAAGCAUUUUCAGUUGUUA